CAUUUAAAGUUUUUUGGGGGUAAAAGUCACAUCCUCUCUAUCCUUUGUUCAAAGGACACACCAGCGCUGGGCACACAACAUACACAACAAAAAUGAUCCUUAGCGAGCGUCUAAUCCAGUAACUUACAAACCAUUCCCGAGCUGAAUUUUUUUGAAAAUACAUAUCCUGGGCCCUAUUUCUUAUGAUUCUGAUGAUAAAGAUCUGGGCUGGGACCCAAAAAUAUAGUUGAAAGCCUUCUGAUGAGUAUCUAGAUUUGGAAACUACCGAUAGAGCUUACUUUUCUAACCUUAAAAAUACAGAAAUAGGUCCAGAGGCAGGAAUAAACUUAGGUAGCAAAGCCUGAGCAGAGCUGAAACUGAAACCUCAUUCUACUGUUUCUCCCACAGGCUCAUCUUCUGAAACACCUUUCUUCAAAGAUAGCUCAACAUAGCUGGGUAGGGACUCUCACUUAUUUCCUGUACCGCCUGUCCUUCACAGUAACUCGAUAGUCCAUUUAUCUCCGGCCCAUCAUGCAGACUGUUUUUUCAAGUGAAUGAAAUAUUUCCAUGGUUUCACAAGGUCUGGGUGGAAAGGGCUCUGGAAAACCCUGCAGGAGGGGGAAACGGUGGGCUAGAGAGGACUGUUUUCUCUUUGCCUGACUGCCAAGGUCAAUCCACACAUAUACAUAUGUUUCCUCCUUCAUGUACCUGCAAAGGCUGAAUUAGACGUGGACUGUACAGUUGAUCUGUACAUUUCCAGCCGACAUGCUCACAAUGUGCUAAAGAAUAGAGCGCCACAGGGAAAAAUGGAUGAGGUGAAAAUCAUUUCCAUCGCUCUGGGAGGAACAUGACAGAUCAAUCAAGGCAGGUUCUGGAUGAAUGAAGUCAGUGAGUUGGAAGUCCUUGCAAAAGACUUCUUUUUGCUUUACCAAGUCUUCAACCAGUUAUAAGAUUGAUUUUUGAAAUGACCCAAGUAUUUUUAAGAGUGUCUCUCUUGCUUCACUGAAAUCGCCUCUCAGCCUAUUUCCACCAUAAUUUCCCUUUUAAAUCUUGAAUUAUUUCUUGAUAUUUCCUUAUGAUUUUUUUUUUAAUUCAGUUGAUUGGGGUUAGAAACUUUCUUCUGAAGCUUGGUUUUAAAUAGGCAGAGAGAUUUAUCCUUUUAUUUUGGUUGGGUCUUGUUUUACGGUUUUCCCUGGCAGCAGAGCUUGCUGCUUGAAAAAAUUUAUCAAAAAAUCUUGCUUUUUAAAUGGACUUGGUUGCCAUUCGUGAACCAAAAGAAUAUGGCUGUGGGAUAUUUUAUCUUAUCUUCUGCUCCCCAGUCUCAAUUUCCCAGCUUCAGAGAGCAUGAAUUGCUCUCCGAAUUAGUUGCCCUAAAGGCAGUUUACAUUUACUUGUUCCUCCUCAAAAUGGAAGCUGGAUGGAUUGAAUGGUGAUCAGACCUCAUUAACUACCCCUGUUGUUACUCCCCUCAAAGUUGGUGUGUGCGUGUGUGUUUUUCCAGUUUGUAAAGUUUCUCUUUUACAUUUGGUUUGAUAUUUUUCCUAAUUUAUAUUUGGUUGCUUUUUCUCCUAAUUCACAAAUGUUCUUGUUUACAUCUGGUUUGCUUAAAUCUGAUUAUCCCUGUGGUCAUUACCUUGAGGUUUGGAUGUUUGGGUUUGGUAUUAAUUUGAAAUUUUAAUAAUAGUAGCUCGCAUUUUUGGAUGCUCACACUUGUGUCAUUUACAUCUCAUUAGUUCAAACAUUAUUUUGUUUAAUCCUCAUAAUAUCCUACUCAAAUAGAUGAUAUUACUAUUCCCAUUUUAGAGAUUAGAAAGCUGAGGAAAGAAAGGAUAUGUACAGUAGGAAGGGCUUAAUCGUUUACAAUUGUGUCCCAGGUAAAAACUUUUUCUUUGCUCUGUGUGUGCUUUUGGCUCUGACUUUAGUUAAGGGUUAAGAGAUGCAUUCAGGUUGUUUUAAUUCAGUAAUUACCAAGCCUGAACAAGAUUAGAAUCACCUGGAGGGCUUGUUAAACCACCAAUUGCCAGGCUCCACCCACAUACUUUCUAUUUAAGGAGAUCUGGAAGGGGCUUCAGGACUGGCGUUUUCCACGAGUUCCCAGCUGAUGUGGGUACCGCUGGUCUGGGUUGGCUCUUUGAGAACCACUGCUUUUGUUCACUUCCCUUCAGGUAAAGGUUUUGUUUGACAAGAACUCUCAGAGAAGAUCCUUUAUCUAAGAAGAGUCAUGAACAUGGUGUCUUACCAAAAGCCACAUGUAUUCAAAGACAAGGAAUGACCAAGCCCAUGCCAGCCUUCUUUCCUGAGGCAAGACACAUAAAAUUACAAAAAGGUAUUUAGACAAGAAGGAUGCAGCUGUUCUAAUCCAGUCAUCUGGUCACCCAAGCCAAGAGGGGUGCAGGUGAGUCAAAGCAAAGUCAUCAUUGAAAACAGCCCAAUAAAUACUUCCUGAGACAGGUAAAGUUGAUUAUAUUAAGAGGUAAAGCCCCUUCUUCAGUAGAUCACAUUCUUCUUUCUUGUACUUUACAGUUGUGAACUAUAAAAUAUUUGCCGGUAAUUUUUGCUGUGGAUAUCCCUGUCUGGACUCAGUCAGGAAAUUUCCUUGUAUAUUGUCUUCCUUUUGGAGUUCAUG